rnacentral:rRNA from 1 species
GUGAGGAAUCUUCCACAAUGGGCGAAAGCCUGAUGGAGCAACGCCGCGUGAAGGAUGAAGGUCUUCGGAUUGUAAACUUCUUUUAUGAGUGAAGAAUAUGACGGUAACUCAUGAAUAAGCACCGGCUAACUACGUGCCAGCAGCCGCGGUCAUACGUAGGGUGCAAGCAUUAUCCGGAGUGACUGGGCGUAAAGAGUUGCGUAGGCGGUUAUGUAAGCGAAUAGUGAAACCUGGUGGCUCAACCACACAGACUAUUAUUCGAACUGCAUAACUCGUGAAUGGUAGAGGUAACUGGAAUUUCUUGUGUAGGAGUGAAAUCCGUAGAUAUAAGAAGGAACACCAAUGGCGUAGGCAGGUUACUGGGCCACUUCUGACGCUAAUGCACGAAAGCGUGGCGAGCGAACCGGAUUAGAUACCCUAGUAGUCC